CCUACGGGAGACAGCAGUGGGGAAUAUUGGGCAAUGGGCGCAAGCCUGACCCAGCAACGCCGCGUGAAGGAAGAAGGCUUUCGGGUUGUAAACUUCUUUUAAGAGGGGAGAGCAGAAGACGGUACCUCUUGAAUAAGCCACGGCUAACUACGUGCCAGCAGCCGCGGUCAUACGUAGGUGGCAAGCGUUGUCCGGAUUUACUGGGUGUAAAGGGCGUGCAGCCGGGAAGACAAGUCAGAUGUGAAAUCCCGCGGCUCAACCGCGGAACUGCAUUUGAAACUGUUUUUCUUGAGUACCGGAGAGGUCAGCGGAAUUCCUUGUGUAGCGGUGAAAUGCGUAGAUAUAAGGAAGAACACCAGUGGCGAAGGCGGAUGACUGGACGGCAACUGACGGUGAGGCGCGAAAGCGUGGGGAGCAAACAGGAUUAGAUACCCCGGUAGUC
rnacentral:rRNA from 1 species